rnacentral:rRNA from 1 species
GAAGUCGGAAUUGCUAGUAAUCGUGGAUCAGCAUGCCACGGUGAAUACGUUCCCGGGCCUUGUACACACCGCCCGUCAAACCAUGAGAGUUGGCAACACCCGAAGCCUGUAGCUUAACCGCAAGGAUGGCGCAGUCGAAGGUGGGGUCGAUGAUUAGGGUUAAGUCGUAACAAGGUAUC